rnacentral:rRNA from 1 species
CCUCCUCGCCGGAAGACCAAGGGUUCCUGUCCAACGUUAAUCGGGGCAGGGUAAGUCGACCCCUAAGGCGAGGCCGAAAGGCGUAGUCGAUGGGAAACGGGUUAAUAUUCCCGUACUUCUUACAAUUGCGAUGGGGGGACGGAGAAGGCUAGGUGGGCCUGGCGACGGUUGUCCAGGUUCAAGUGCGUAGGCUUGAGAGUUAGGUAAAUCCGGCUCUC